UCCUAGCCCCGAUUGAAGUGAAAAUCCUUUUUGUCCGACUUUUUGGCGGAUAAAAAGAUUGCAACGAAAAGCGGGAAAUAGC
rnacentral:sRNA from 1 species